ACAGUCACUGACAUUAGAUACCCGCGUAGUCCCAGCCGUAAACGAUGUGCGUUAGGUGUAUCGACGACCACGAGUCGUCGAGGUGCCGAAGGGAAACCGUGAAACGUACCGCCUGGGAAGUACGGUCGCAAGGCUGAAACUUAAAGGAAUUGGCGGGGAGCACCACAACAGGUGGAGCCUGCGGUUUAAUUGGACUCAACGCCGGGAAGCUCACCGGAUAGGACAGCAGAAUGAUUGCCGGGCUGAAGACCCUGCAUGACUAGCUG
rnacentral:rRNA from 1 species